GAUGAACGCUGGCGGCGUGCCUAAUACAUGCAAGUCGAGCGAACAGACGAGGAGCUUGCUCCUCUGACGUUAGCGGCGGACGGGUGAGUAACACGUGGAUAACCUACCUAUAAGACUGGGAUAACUUCGGGAAACCGGAGCUAAUACCGGAUAAUAUAUUGAACCGCAUGGUUCAAUAGUGAAAGACGGUUUUGCUGUCACUUAUAGAUGGAUCCGCGCCGCAUUAGCUAGUUGGUAAGGUAACGGCUUACCAAGGCAACGAUGCGUAGCCGACCUGAGAGGGUGGUCGGCCACACUGGAACGGAGACAGGGUCCAGACUCCUACGAGAGGCAGCAGUAGGGAAUCUUCCGCAAUGGGCGAAAGCCUGACGGAGCAACGCCGCGUGAGUGAUGAAGGUCUUCGGAUCGUAAAACUCUGUUAUUAGGGAAGAACAAAUGUGUAAGUAACUAUGCACGUCUUGACGGUACCUAAUCAGAAAGCCACGGCUAACUACGUG
rnacentral:rRNA from 1 species